rnacentral:rRNA from 1 species
GGGUCAGUAGGUUGGUCGUGCCACCGGUACGUACUGGUCUCACUGAUUCCUCCUUCCUGAAGAACCGUAAUGCCAUUAAUUUGGUGUUGCGGGGAAGCAGGACUGUUACUUUGAAAAAAUUAGAGUGUUUAAAGCAAGCUAACGCUUGAAUCCAUUAGCAUGGAAUAAUGAAAUAGGACGAUCGAUCCUAUUUUGUUGGUUUCUAGGAUUGACGUA